GUCGGGAGGGCGGCUAAUACAAUACCCACGUUCGUGGGAAAUACGCCCGCCGAUUCGCACUAGACGGUUUCUAACCUCCCGACUCCCCCGC
rnacentral:ncRNA from 1 species